AUGUCGACCAGCCCACCUCCCUCUCCUGUCGACAGCGGCCUCGGGCACAACCCCUCUGCCGAGGAACUCGCCGCCGCUGCAGCCGCCGCUGAGCGUCCCCGCGCGUCGCUCACCCCAGAUCUCACCAACUCCGGUGAUCUGCCUCUCGCUGCAUCCCCACCCAACCCCAUUCCCCCGAUCCCUCUCUCUGUGCCCACCACCACUCCCCCUCCCGGCGGCCUCCCUCCAAGCAUCGCCGGGGUCGUCGACUUCAAGUUGACCCUGGAUGGGACCAACUUCACCCGCUGGCGCAACUACCUCAACCUCCUCUUCGCGCGGUACCAUGCGGAGACGCACGUCCAGGCCGGGGCCGCGGCGCGCCUCUCCGAUCCACAGUGGCGCGACGACGACAACACUAUCCGCCUCUGGUUCUUCUCCACCAUCGAAGGUGAUCUCCUCGACCUCGUCGCUCCACCCGACUCCACCGCUUACACCAUUUGGCAGCGCCUUCAUGAG
rnacentral:rRNA from 1 species